GUGACCGAAGCUUCCCCAGAAGGCUGCAUCGUCUCAGGAUCGCCAUUUUAUGUGUUUGGCUCUGAGACUGGGACGGUGGGUGCGUGCGGUGCAUACUACAGAGCGUAUUCCGUGCAUUAUCUGCAAGAUGUUACCCAAAUACUUUGCGCCCGACAUGUACAAGUAACGACAGGUGUUGGAGUGAGUGGAUCGGGCAGCGAAGGCUCGGGCCGAAAUGGUCCCGGAAUAGUGAGCUGUGCGUGAGUGUGUUUUCAUCGAGUUGUGCGUCGCACUGGCUUUUCACUGCUGUCACCGUUUGUUAAUACCUGUGCCAUUCGAAAACUCGGCUUUGGGUCAAAUUACGGACGGCCUCUGGAUUCCUUGCGACACCCUCGCCACCAUCUACGAUGAGUUCGCGCAACAUACCCUCAGACAAGAUAAACCUACGCCUCAUUCUUGUCAGCGGUAAGACAAAAGAGUUCCUAUUCAGUCCGAGCGACUCUGCGGGGGACAUAGCGCACCAUGUGUUUGAAAACUGGCCGGAAGACUGGGCGGAAGAGGCAGUCGCUAAAGCGGAGAUCCUGCGGUUAAUCUACCAGGGUCGUUUUCUGCACAGCAAUGUCACGCUCGGUGCUCUUGGGCUUCCUUUCGGGAAAACCACGGUGAUGCAUCUGGUCCCACGAGAGAAUCUUCCCGAGCCUAAUUCUCAAGGUCUUCUGCCAAAUGGCGAGUACAUGCAUAUCCAAUCUAUCGACGAGGAAACCACCUUCAUCUAACAAAAAGAACCAGAACGUGUCCUAUCCUAUAUCCAAAAUGAGCCGACAUCCACAUCCACGAUCCCUCGUUCCUGAACACCCAAUUCGUCACCAGCUCGAACAAGAAAUUACAUGAAAAUUGAUGAUCAGAGGCAAAAAAGUAAAGGCGGAGGAAGUAGUUGCUGUUCAGCUUCCUGUUGCAUACUUUAAAAAAUAAACAUACAAACAAAAAGAACAAAGAAACAAAAAAAAAAAGAGAGAGGUGAAAUAAAACAUUGUCGGCUGCCCUGGAUAUAUUUUAAAUGGUCGUACCGUGUGAGAGCCAGCACACGUUCAGGCUGAGCCAUGGUUUCUAAGGUUUCGAUGCUGGUGUAUCAUCGUUUUAGUGGCUGAGCUCGUGAGCAGUGUAGCAACACGAAAUCGUCGCACCCUUCCUUUUUUUUUCCCCUCUAGAUCCACGUGAAAAAUAAAAAGAGGUGUUUACACCCACGACACAUAUAUAGCAAACGAGAGAGCACACGUUGGUCACCGUCCCAGGUGAACGAUUCGAUCGAUCAUCAUCGUUGUCCUCUUGUACCUUGUGUGGAAGGAUAAAAAGCAGGAUCUAAUCGUGUCGCGUUGAAACUCUUCGAUAAAAGAGACAUAACGCGUUCAGAGCCAAACCCAUAAUACACAGCUGUCCGUUUUGUUCGCUGUUACCAUGUACUUGAUCGGUGUAUUCACACUGAAAAUCUAUUUAUGACCGUCGACUCACGACAGGAGACUGGUCGUGGUUCGUUCCAGGAUGUCCGAUGUGCUCGUUCAAGUAUGCCUCGAGACACAUAAAGCACGACAGUCUCCUGUAGUUAAACGUAAACGAUUAAUUCUCUAGUAAGAUGAAAAUGUUAUUAUUUGUUUUUCUUUUUUUCUUCUUUCGUUCGACAGAGAGAUUAGGACGUAGAGCCUUUCGAAGGGGAUGAAAGCUCUCUUGAACGGCGCUACAAUGCUUAGAAACUCAACCACUAUCCGACUACCGCAGCGUUAAAUAGUAAUUAUUAAUUGUAGACGGGAUAUCGCGUGUGUGUUGUGCAAGAAGAAUGACUGAGUCGCGUUUGAAAGAUCGAGGAAGAGAGUAAAAAUUUAUGUUGUGAUAUGCAGGUAGUGAAUAUAUUAUAUAUAUACAAUACUAUUAUUAAAAUUAUAUAUUAUAUAUAUGAACAAAAAAAAAAAGGUAUAUAUAUAUAAUAUGGGUAUGAGACAUGUUGACAGACAGUUUAAACUCUCAUACACGAUAGACUUUAUUAUCAUGAAUUUAAAGUAAUAUUAUGACGCCACUUUGAGAGUUUAGUAUUCUGGAUAAGAUUGCAGAGGAAAAGAACAUUGGAUCUCUAAUGGUAGUUAUGAUUAAAUAAAAAAGAAAAAGAAAAAAAAUUCAAAUAUAUCUCCUGUUAAAUCCUUUUUUUAUCCAAAAAACACAUCCCUUCUCCGAUUAUCCUUCUUUCACCUCUCUUCUCCUCACCUUUGAUUACGUCCACCCUUCAACCUCCUUUCUUUUUUGUCAACCCUUUAUUCUGUUUUCACCCGUCCAUUUUCAAUCGGUCGGGCCUAGGAUCGUGAUUUCGUCGACCCAACGAUCAAUCCACGUUUACCGGCAAUUGCCGAAAUCGCGAGUAUUGAUUACAGUUAGGUCCAUCCAAACCAUUUUACGAUAAGUUGUAGCCUAUUCUAUACUCAAAACUAUGCUACUGUAAUUAAUUACUAUGACUCUUACCAAUGCAUAAUACGUGUAUAUAAUAUAUAUAUAUAUAUAUAUAUAUAUAUAUAGAUAUAUAAUGUUCUUACAUAGUGAAAUUCAUUGGAAUUCACGAUUGUCGAAGUUUAUUUAAUUUAUUUCGCACGAAACAUCGGCGAACAAUGUUGUACACCUGUUUGAAAUCGUCGAUAUCUGCUUGACCUCGUAAACCUGUGAAAAAAAAAAAAAAAUAAUCGUCUUUUCCUGACAGAAACAAGAAAAUUAAUCAUGAAUACGUAAUGUUUCUUAAAUUGUUUCCAAGUAUUACCGAUAAGAUGUUGAGUGAUAUCGAACGAUUAUAAAAAUGUAGAUGUAAGAUGAAGAAAAGAAAAAAAGAAAUGAUAUGAAAAUCACACUAUCGGAUACGUAUAGUUUCUCUUCUUGCUCAAAUACACCGAAUAAUAUUUAUUGAUUUAUUAUUAAAACAUACUCAGUCUCCGUUUUUACGAAAUGAACAAUUGGUGUUAUCGAGUACAUGCAGAUACGAGAUAAUAGGUUUAUGGGGAUGGCUAGCAGUAUAAUUUUUUUUUUUUUUUAAUUUUAUUAUUUUCCUCUUAAUUUGCGGUCAAUUUUUAUUAAUCGUUGUAUCGAGAACGUCGCUGCCUUCCGUUUAUUCGUCCUUCUCUUUCUCUUCUUAUUUCUUUUUUUUCUCUUUUUAAACAAUAGAGAUUAAGAGGUAGACUCUAUGAAUGCUGUUUAUAAAAGUAACAAGAAAAUUGUUUAGCGCGUAAGUUCUAAAAAAAAAAAAAUUGCGAACGAACAAACACAUCACGUUACGAAUAUACAUGGACUAUCAUCGGGAAUAAAAUUGUCUUCGCGGAAUGACGAGGAUCAUAUGCAAAUUUUGUUGCGUACAAAUGUAAUCGUCUGAUUAUAACAAUCGUUCGAUCACCGGAUAGACGAACAAUAUAAAAGAAAAAGAAUGAAAAAAAUGCUGCUCUGUAAUAAGUUUAUUGUACAGUUCCUUUGACGUUACAAUAUUACUUUAAAAUCUUGCGGAAGAAAAUGUAGGAUGAAUGAAACGUUGUUCGAAACGUAUGCUAGAUACAAGAAGCGGUCGUCGUCGAAGCUCUCUCUGUUCGUCGCGCGUGUAGAAAUCAUUAAUUACGUUUACACGAAUCAUUCGACAAAUUUUAUCCACCUUUCAUCUGUCAUGAGUUAUUUUUCAAACGUGUGACACGAUGAAAUCGAGCGCGAUUACGCGCGGUGUUGGAAGAAAAGGAUCCUUGAAUUCUUUUCUUUUAACACUGUAUAAAUAUACAGGAUGUUCUAGGUUUUAUAUUCAAAUGUAUUCCAAAAAGAGAUAAAAUAUGAAAUGAAUUGUUAUUAAAUAACAAACACAAUGAAGUUUUGGGAUACUGCGUUGGAAUUAGGACAUCGUUGUCCUUAUUUUCAAUCGUGAAAAUUUCUUGUCAAAAACCUGAGACACCCUGUAUACAUAUCCUUUGUAUAAAAUUGUAGAGAGCACGCCACGAUACGCCAUCUUUUCUCGAGAAAACAAUUUUUCACCAUCGUUAUAGUUCCCCUUCACAUUUUAUCCGGGUCUAUUUCUCUCUGUAUCUAUGAUAGUUGUCCGUUCUUUUCUUUGACCAUUGCUAAGUUGAUCUCACCGAAUGUUGCACACACACCACGAGCUGUAUAACAAUGAGAGACAAAGUAACAAAACGCCAUGGAACUUCCGAGGAAGGGGGGUAAUUUUAACGUGCUAGUGUAUUAUAUUAAACUAUACGCCUGACUCUAUUUGCUGUUUAAACGAGGAAGAUGAUGAACUUAAAUGAAAAUAAAAUGGUAUUCUUAAAUGCAAGAAAAAAAAGGUAAUAAUAAUGAUGAUAAAUAAUAAUAAUAAAUAAUAAUACUAAAACAGUCUACGAGGAAUAUAAUUACACACAUCAUAUCAAAAUUCUAGCGGAUAAGAAUCAAAUCAUUAUACAUACAUACAUAGAUUUAUUUGUACACGCGUUUCGAUGAGCUAUUGUGCGCCCAUACCAUACCAUCAUUUUUAUGUACAAUACGAACGUACAAAUUCUUUGAUUCUUCAUCGACAUCAUCACGUGCAUCAUACACGAGCAAACGAACGGAUUUAGCGGGUCAUUAUGGUACCAUAUAAUGGGUCGCGAACGAUCCUCGUUACGAAUUUACGUAAAAUGAGAUGAUUACGGGUUUUCAUUGCACGGUCUUGCGAGAAACGAGAAACGGUCAUGUUGAAAUUUCAAAUUGUUUUGUUAAACAAAUGGUGCGCGUUGUGUUGACAACCUGGAAGUAUAGUUUAUACGAUACUAGCGCGAAAUGUACAAGUUGAUUGAAAAAGGGGGUUUCAGGAAUCAUUAAAUUUAUCAAUAAAUAAUGGUUUCAAUGAACCAUUUAUGGAACUAAAUUCAAAGAUCCUGAAACCUUUCUUUCGAUGUACUCUGUAUAGAUAAGCUUUGUUCUUGUGUUCAAACAUGUGACACGAGCGCGCAUUUAACGAGGAAGAGAAGAAAUUAAAAAUAGGCGGCCAAAGAGUAAACAUAGCCGUGGCAAGUUUUCCGUUCGCCAUACGAAAGCUUUGUAAUCAAUUCAGUUUACUUUGGGAAAAGAGGUUCAAUCAAAUAAUCGUGCUCGUAUUGGCAUUUCUCAUCUUGGAUAUAGAGCAUUGUUAUCGCUAGUCGGACAGAUUUUAUCGAUCACGAGAGAGAAACAUUAUUGAUGAAUCAACGAAGAGAAUGAUAAUAUAAAGCAGCCCCCGUGUUAUAAAAUGCAGAUUACGAAAUACGUUAUAAUAAUUUUAUCGCUGCUGGCAGACGCAGUAGAUCGUGUAGAAAAACGAGCAAGUAGGAAAAUCAAAAUGAUAAUAAACGAUGAUCAUCUUCAACAAUAAUUACGGAUAAUCGGAAUCCGUGUAAAUAGAAUUAUUUAACGCUUUGAUGACUAGUUUAAUCUAUUCGUGAUUUCUAUACGUAAUAUUUUACUUUACUACUAUCGAUAUUAUUAAUUGUUUACUUGUAAUUUGAAAAUUAGUAAUUUUGUGGUAUACGGUAUCGAACAAAGUAGACUUCUCCUGAAAAAAAAUGGCGUCACAGGGGAAAUAAAAACUCUCAAAUUCUUAAUUUUUACGAUAUUAAUAUUAAAAGUGAUUUAGUAAACAAAAUAAUAUAAUCUUUAAUCAUAAAAUUUCAUAAAAUUUAGUAUAUAAUUAAAAAAUGUGGAGAAUAACAUGAAUACCAAUUCAAGUUCCACCGCGCAAUCGUUCGUGCGCAGAUGGAGGAAGGCCGCAGACCCAUAUACGCGGGGCCUUCCCCCUCCAUCGUUAGUCUCCUUGGGACCGCUGGUGGUGAGUGAUAUGCGUCCGGAGAGUAACGGCCUACAGCGAGGGCCAGAAAAUUACAAGAAUGAGUGUAUUUUUCUUAAGAAACCUCGUAUGCCAGAUAUGAUACGUUAUAAAAAUUUGUAAAAUAUAUUUUCAUUAGUCUGUAUUUCCAAAAAUUGCGAAAAUCACUAAUUCGGUCAAAUAUGUGCGGUCAUCAAAGUGUUAAAUAUAAGAAACAAUGAAACUUUAAGUAGAAACAUUCCAAAUUGAAACGAGUCCCAGCUCCUCGUUCUUAUCCCCUCGUUUAAUUAACCAAUCCCAUGCUCAACGAGAGAAAACAUUAGAAAAUUCCGUGUUAUUCGAUGUUCGAAUGUUGAAACGCGAUCGUAGAACGUACGAUGUAAUCGUAUUUUAAUGAAACGAUUGUAAUAAUUAUGCCUGAGAGAAAAAAUUUAGACACGCGAAACUCGUGCCACCCACGACACGAUCUUUGUUUACAUUGAGAUUUCACGAAAGAAAAAGAGGAAAACAAAUAAAAAUGUGAAGAAGAUGGAGGGAAAAAGAAGAAGUGUACAAAGCGAACUAUAAUUUUAUACGGAAAUCAGAACGUAAUAAUUUUACUUGAGAUCCGUGAAUGUUCAAAUUUUCAUGCGUGACAUUAUUGACUAAUUACUAUAGUAUCGAACGAGCAUUGUUGUAUAAAAAAAAAAAAA